rfam:Lupinus angustifolius cultivar Tanjil chromosome LG02, whole genome shotgun sequence.
GGUAGUAGCAAAUAUUCAAAUGAGAACUUUGACGGUUGAAGCGGGGAGAGGUUCUAUGUGAACGACACUUGCACAUGGGUUAGUCGAUCCUAAGGGACGGGGGAAGCCCGUCUGAUAGCGCUCUAAGCAUGCACUCCGAAAGGGAAUCAGGUUAAAAUUCCUGAACCAUGACGUGGAGGCUGAUGACAAUGUUAGGGAGUCCGGAGACGUCGGCAGGGGACCCGAAAAGAGUUAUCUUUUCUAUUUAACAUCCUUCCCACCCUGGGAACGGCUCAGCUGGAGGUAGGUUCCAGUGGCUGGAAGAGCACCGCACGUCGCAUGGUGUUCCGUGCGCCCCUGGUGCCCCUUGAAAAUUCGGAGGAUGAUGUGCCUCCCAUGCCCGGUCGUACUCAUAACUGCUUCAGGUCUCCAAAGGUGAACAACCUUUGGUC